AUGGGCUUCAAAGUGCUGUUCGUGCAGGUAGCUUAAUAACAGACCUACUGCAUGGGCGGCACUUCCCAAGCCC
ensembl:miRNA xtr-mir-93a xtr-mir-93a